rnacentral:tRNA from 1 species
AGAAAAGUAAGCUAAAUAUAAGCUAAUGGGUUCAUACCCCAUAUAUAGAGUACAACACUCUCUUCUCUA